UACCCACCUUUGACAUGUACGGAAUCCUGCAGAGACGCAGGAGUGCUCGAAAGAGAGCCGUAACACAGGUGCUGCAUGGCUGUCGUCAGCUCGUGUCGUGAGAUGUUGGGUUAAGUCCCGCAACGAGCGCAACCCUUGCCAUUAGUUGCUACGGAAGGGCACUCUAAUGGGACUGCCGGUGACAAACCGGAGGAAGGUGGGGAUGACGUCAAGUCCUCAUGGCCCUUAUAGGUGGGGCUACACACGUCAUACAAUAGCUGGUACAAAGGGUUGCCAACCCGCGAGGGGGGGCCAAUCCCACAAAGCCAGUCGUAGUCCGGAUCGCAGUCUGCAACUCGACUGCGUGAAGUCGGAAUCGCUAGUAAUCGUGGAUCAGCAUGUCACGGUGA
rnacentral:rRNA from 1 species